rnacentral:rRNA from 1 species
GAUGAACGCUGGCGGCGUGCCUAAUACAUGCAAGUCGAGCGAACAGACGAGGAGCUUGCUCCUCUGACGUUAGCGGCGGACGGGUGAGUAACACGUGGAUACCCUACUUAUAAGACUGGGAUAACUUCGGGAAACCGGAGCUAAUACCGGAUAAUAUAUUGAACCGCAUGGUUCAAUAGUGAAAGACGGUUUUGCUGUCACUUCUAGAUGGAUCUGCGCCGCAUUAGCUAGUUGGUAAGGUAACGGCUUAUCAAGGCAACGAUGCGUAGCCGACCUGUGGGGGUGAUCGGCCGCACUAGAACGUAGACACGGACCAGGGGCCUAAGGGAGGGAGCAGUAGGGAAUGUGACGCAGUGGGCGAAAGCCUUACGGAGCAACGGCGAGUCAGUGAUGAAGGUCUUGCGUGCGUAAAGCUCGGUUAUUAGGGAAGAACAAAUUUGGAAGUAACUAUGCACGGCGUGACGGUACCUAAUCAGAAAGCCACGGCUAACUACGUG